UGACUGUACUUGAAGAAUAAUCCACCGCUAAUUCCGUGCCACACCCGCGGAAAUACGGGAGUGGCAAGUUUUAUCCGGAAUUAUUGGGCGUAAAGCGUCCGCAGGCGGCUUUGUAAGUCUGCUGUCAAAGCGUGGAUCUCAACUCCAUUUCGGCAGUGGAAACUACGAGGCUUGAGUGUGGUAGGGGCUGAGGGAAUUCCCGGUGUA
rnacentral:rRNA from 1 species